rnacentral:lncRNA from 1 species
AAUAUAAUGUUGCUAUGCCAUGCCAUGUUACAUUUCUUUUAGCCUAUAUUAGUUUACAUUUUGGGAAAGUGGCAACAUUAAAAUUAUGCCGAAUUAGUUAUCAGUUCAUGUUUACAUGGAUUACUUUGAUACUGAAAAGAAAACUUAAAAACCAGAUGAUUCUCAGGCAACUUCUGGAGUUAUAAGGGGCGCCUUUUUUCUGUGAUUUCUAAGCAGUGGACGUUAACUCGCAAUGAGACCAAACACAAUUAUAUCUUCUGAAAGUGAUGCUGGCUAUCUUAGCUUCACAUGUCUGGCAUUGUUUGAAAACUUCUGCUACACUAAUGGACACAGAGCUACGGAGGUUUCCUGUCGGAGUUGCCAGGUGCUGUGUUUACGGAGACCGUCGCCUGGCAACGCAUUCCAAACAGUAUUAGGAUAUGAGGACAAGGGAGCAGUGGCGAGUGUCGUGUUUUCAGCAGCAGGAGCCUCAUGGCGGCGACAGCAGGGUGGCACUGUAAACAACCAUCACACCUCUGUGUGA